GGUUAAGCGACUAAGCGUACACGGUGGAUGCCCUGGCAGUCAGAGGCGAUGAAGGACGUGCUAAUCUGCGAAAAGCGUCGGUAAGGUGAUAUGAACCGUUAUAACCGGCGAUGUCCGAAUGGGGAAACCCAGUGCAAUUCGUUGCACUAUCGUUAACUGAAUACAUAGGUUAACGAGGCGAACCGGGGGAACUGAAACAUCUAAGUACCCCGAGGAAAAGAAAUCAACCGAGAUUCCCCCAGUAGCGGCGAGCGAACGGGGAGCAGCCCAGAGUCUGAAUCAGCUUGUGUGUUAGUGGAACGGUCUGGAAAGUCCGACGGUACAGGGUGAUAGUCCCGUACACCAAAAUGCACAGGUUGUGAACUCGAAGAGUAGGGCGGGACACGUGGUAUCCUGUCUGAAUAUGGGGGGACCAUCCUCCAAGGCUAAAUACUCCUGACUGACCGAUAGUGAACCAGUACCGUGAGGGAAAGGCGAAAAGAACCCCGGCGAGGGGAGUGAAAAAGAACCUGAAACCGUGUACGUACAAGCAGUGGGAGCACCUUCGGGUGUGACUGCGUACCUUUUGUAUAAUGGGUCAGCGACUUAUAUUCUGUAGCAAGGUUAACCGUAUAGGGGAGCCGCAGGGAAACCGAGUCUUAACUGGGCGUUAAGUUGCAGGGUAUAGACCCGAAACCCGGUGAUCUAGCCAUGGGCAGGUUGAAGGUUGGGUAACACUAACUGGAGGACCGAACCGACUAAUGUUGAAAAAUUAGCGGAUGACUUGUGGCUGGGGGUGAAAGGCCAAUCAAACCGGGAGAUAGCUGGUUCUCCCCGAAAGCUAUUUAGGUAGCGCCUCGUGAACUCAUCUUCGGGGGUAGAGCACUGUUUCGGCUAGGGGGUCAUCCCGACUUACCAACCCGAUGCAAACUACGAAUACCGAAGAAUGUUAUCACGGGAGACACACGGCGGGUGCUAACGUCCGUCGUGAAGAGGGAAACAACCCAGACCGCCAGCUAAGGUCCCAAAGUCAUGGUUAAGUGGGAAACGAUGUGGGAAGGCACAGACAGCCAGGAUGUUGGCUUAGAAGCAGCCAUCAUUUAAAGAAAGCGUAAUAGCUCACUGGUCGAGUCGGCCUGCGCGGAAGAUGUAACGGGGCUAAACCAUGCACCGAAGCUGCGGCAGCGACACUAUGUGUUGUUGGGUAGGGGAGCGUUCUGUAAGCCUGCGAAGGUGACCUGUGAGGGUUGCUGGAGGUAUCAGAAGUGCGAAUGCUGACAUAAGUAACGAUAAAGCGGGUGAAAAGCCCGCUCGCCGGAAGACCAAGGGUUCCUGUCCAACGUUAAUCGGGGCAGGGUGAGUCGACCCCUAAGGCGAGGCCGAAAGGCGUAGUCGAUGGGAAACAGGUUAAUAUUCCUGUACUUGGUGUUACUGCGAAGGGGGGACGGAGAAGGCUAUGUUAGCCGGGCGACGGUUGUCCCGGUUUAAGCAUGUAGGCUGGUUGUCCAGGCAAAUCCGGAUAAUCAAGGCUGAGGUGUGAUGACGAGGCACUACGGUGCUGAAGUAACAAAUGCCCUGCUUCCAGGAAAAGCCUCUAAGCAUCAGGUAACAUUAAAUCGUACCCCAAACCGACACAGGUGGUCAGGUAGAGAAUACCAAGGCGCUUGAGAGAACUCGGGUGAAGGAACUAGGCAAAAUGGUGCCGUAACUUCGGGAGAAGGCACGCUGGUGUGUAGGUGAAGUCCCUGCGGAUGGAGCUGAGACCAGUCGAAGAUACCAGCUGGCUGCAACUGUUUAUUAAAAACACAGCACUGUGCAAACACGAAAGUGGACGUAUACGGUGUGACGCCUGCCCGGUGCCGGAAGGUUAAUUGAUGGGGUUAUCCGUAAGGAGAAGCUCUUGAUCGAAGCCCCGGUAAACGGCGGCCGUAACUAUAACGGUCCUAAGGUAGCGAAAUUCCUUGUCGGGUAAGUUCCGACCUGCACGAAUGGCGUAAUGAUGGCCAGGCUGUCUCCACCCGAGACUCAGUGAAAUUGAACUCGCUGUGAAGAUGCAGUGUACCCGCGGCAAGACGGAAAGACCCCGUGAACCUUUACUAUAGCUUGACACUGAACAUUGAGCCUUGAUGUGUAGGAUAGGUGGGAGGCUUUGAAGCGUGGACGCCAGUCUGCGUGGAGCCAACCUUGAAAUACCACCCUUUAAUGUUUGAUGUUCUAACGUUGGCCCCUGACCGGGGUUGCGGACAGUGUCUGGUGGGUAGUUUGACUGGGGCGGUCUCCUCCCAAAGCGUAACGGAGGAGCACGAAGGUUAGCUAAUCCUGGUCGGACAUCAGGAGGUUAGUGCAAUGGCAUAAGCUAGCUUGACUGCGAGCGUGACGGCGCGAGCAGGUGCGAAAGCAGGUCAUAGUGAUCCGGUGGUUCUGAAUGGAAGGGCCAUCGCUCAACGGAUAAAAGGUACUCCGGGGAUAACAGGCUGAUACCGCCCAAGAGUUCAUAUCGACGGCGGUGUUUGGCACCUCGAUGUCGGCUCAUCACAUCCUGGGGCUGAAGUAGGUCCCAAGGGUAUGGCUGUUCGCCAUUUAAAGUGGUACGCGAGCUGGGUUUAGAACGUCGUGAGACAGUUCGGUCCCUAUCUGCCGUGGGCGCUGGAGAAUUGAGGGGGGCUGCUCCUAGUACGAGAGGACCGGAGUGGACGCAUCACUGGUGUUCGGGUUGUCAUGCCAAUGGCACUGCCCGGUAGCUAAAUGCGGAAGAGAUAAGUGCUGAAAGCAUCUAAGCACGAAACUUGCCCCGAGAUGAGUUCUCCCUGAGACUUUAAGUCUCCUGAAGGAACGUUGAAGACGACGACGUUGAUAGGCCGGGUGUGUAAGCGCAGCGAUGCGUUGAGCUAACCGGUACUAAUGAACCGUGAGGCUUAACCUU
rnacentral:rRNA from 2 species